AGAACGAACGCUGGCGGCACGCCUAACACAUGCAAGUCGAACGCAGACCUUCGGGUUUGAGUGGCGAACGGGUGAGUAACACGUGGGAAUCUACCUGAUAGUGGGGGACAACUGUUGGAAACGACAGCUAAUACCGCAUACGCCGAGAGUUAAAUUUUGGGAAAGAUUUAUCGCUAUCAGAAGAGCCCGCGCCAGAUUAGGUAGUUGGUAGGGUAAUGGCCUACCAAGCCGAUGAUCUGUAGCUGGUCUGAGAGGAUGGCCAGCCACACUGGGACUGAGACACGGCCCAGACUCCUACGGGAGGCAGCAGUGGGGAAUCUUGGACAAUGGGGGAAACCCUGAUCCAGCGAUGCCGCGUGAAUGAAGAAGGCCCUUGGGUUGUAAAGUUCUUUCACCUGUGACGAUAAUGACGGUAACAGGAGAAGAAGCCCCGGCUAACCUCCGCGCCAGCAGCCGC
rnacentral:rRNA from 1 species